rnacentral:rRNA from 1 species
AUUGAACGCUGGCGGCAGGCCUAACACAUGCAAGUCGAACGAGUGGCGGACGGGUGAGUAAUGUCUGGGAAACUGCCUGAUGGAGGGGGAUAACUACUGGAAACGAUAGCUAAUACCGCAUACCAUCAGAUGUGCCCAGAUGGGAUUAGCUAGUAGGUGGGGUAACGGCUCACCUAGGCGACGAUCCCUAGCUGGUCUGAGAGGAUGACCAGCCACACUGGAACUGAGACAAGGUCCAGACUCCGAAGGGAGGCAGCAGUGGGGAAUAUUGCACAAAGGGGGGAAGCCUGGUUCAGCCAUGCCGGGUGGAAGAAGAAGGCCUUCGGGUUGGAAAGUACUUUCAGCGGGGAGGCGUUACCCGCAGAAGAAGCACCGGCUAACUCCGUUCCAGCAGCCGCGGUAAUUC